GUUCCUGAUCUUUCACUUUCCCCCUCUCUCCUACCUUCCCUCUCUGCUGGUGAAGGCCUCGCUGUUGCAGAUGGCCCGGGGUUUUUUAAAGCACAUGAGAACAUAACCCCAAGAAGCAGAGGUCGUUACGCACAAGGGUCAGGUAAAACGAGUGCUUAAAAAAAGGCAAAGCCAACAAACCUGACUUCCUGGCCAUGCACUCUCACCUCCCUGGUAAAAAGAAAACACACGUCAUUCCGAGAGCUGAAUUAAUUCAUGCAGCGCAGGCAGAUUCUCUGCAGCCAGACCGAACCGUUACAACAGGGACUCCCUGAAGUAAACAGAACUUAUGACAAGUCUGUCCCCGAGGAGAGUCCAAAGAUGGACAGGAUGGCCUGACUGUAACGUUGCUAACGCCUCCCACCACGGUCUGGUGCACAGAGACCAGCAGGGCCGGUCGUGGUCCCCAGGAUGGAACCGGGGAGCAGAAAAGCAGAAGCAUGGGCCGCAAGCGCUGACACCGAGCCGUCGCACCUUGCGGACUACGGUUGACUGGUGACGACGGAUGGCACAGAACAUCCGUGAUGGCUAGCUGUGAACCAGCGUUUUGAGGAAGCUGAAACUGUGAGUAAACAGAGACAGACCAUGAACGGGAGAGGGUCAGAGAGAGGGAG